CCCAUUACGCAAGUAAGUAAGAUCCCUUGAAGACGACAAGGUAGAUAGGUUCGAGGUGGAAGUAUGGUGACAUAUGGAGCUGACGAAUACUAAUAGAUCGAGGACUUAACCACAA
rnacentral:rRNA from 1 species